rnacentral:rRNA from 1 species
UAGGGAAUCUUCCACAAUGGACGCAAGUCUGAUGGAGCAACGCCGCGUGAGUGAAGAAGGUCUUCGGAUCGUAAAACUCUGUUGUUAGAGAAGAACACGAGUGAGAGUAACUGUUCAUCCGAUGACGGUAUCUAACCAGCAAGUCACGGCUAACUACGUACCAG